AGAGUUUGAUCCUGGCUCAGGAUGAACGCUGGCGGCGUGCCUAAUACAUGCAAGUCGAGCGAACGGACGAGAAGCUUGCUUCUCUGAUGUUAGCGGCGGACGGGUGAGUAACACGUGGAUAACCUACCUAUAAGACUGGGAUAACUUCGGGAAACCGGAGCUAAUACCGGAUAAUAUUUUGAACCGCAUGGUUCAAAAGUGAAAGACGGUCUUGCUGUCACUUAUAGAUGGAUCCGCGCUGCAUUAGCUAGUUGGUAAGGUAACGGCUUACCAAGGCAACGAUGCAUAGCCGACCUGAGAGGGUGAUCGGCCACACUGGAACUGAGACACGGUCCAGACUCCUACGGGAGGCAGCAGUAGGGAAUCUUCCGCAAUGGGCGAAAGCCUGACGGAGCAACGCCGCGUGAGUGAUGAAGGUCUUCGGAUCGUAAAACUCUGUUAUUAGGGAAGAACAUAUGUGUAAGUAACUGUGCACAUCUUGACGGUACCUAAUCAGA
rnacentral:rRNA from 1 species